AUACUUGUAAAGGAACUCGGCAAAUUGUCUUCAUAAGUUAGACGAUAUGAAGAACCAUUUUAUAUAAAUAAUAUUUAAAUGGUGUCACAAAAUCGGAGGCCCCGACUGUUUACCUAAAACACAGCUUUCUGCUACGAAUAAUAUUCUGUGUAUAGAAAGCGAAUUUUGCCCAAUGCCAUUAAUAUAAGGUUGGUAAGCGCAUAGCGUAUUUACUGAUUGAAGUUCUGGUCAAUGGCGGUCUUAUCUAUGAGGAUCCUAAGGUAGCAAAAUUAAUUGUCCAUUAAAUGUGGUCCUGACUGAAUAAAGUAACGAUGGUCUCACUGUCUCUACAAGUAUCUCAGUGAAAUUGAAUUAGCCGUGCAGAUGCGGUUUAACUUCG
rnacentral:rRNA from 1 species